rnacentral:rRNA from 1 species
UACGGAGGAUGCGAGCGUUAUCCGGAUUUAUUGGGUUUAAAGGGUGCGUAGGCGGCUUUUUAAGUCUGCAGUGAAAUUUUGCAGCUUAACUGUAACAGUGCCGUUGAUACUGGGGAGCUAGGAUUUGGUUGCUGUGGGUGGAAUGUGUGGUGUAGCGGUGAAAUGCUUAGAGAUCACACAGAAUAUCGAUUGCGAAGGCAGCUCACAAAGCCAAGAUUGACGCUGAGGCACGAAAGUGUGGGGAUCAAACAGGAUUA